AAACUGCCAAACUAGAGAAUGACAGAGGCAACUGGAAUUCUGCAUGUAGGGGUAAAAUCCGUUGAUAUGCAGAGGAACACCAAAAGCGAAGGCAGGUUGCUGGGUCAUUUCUGACGCUGUUGCACGAAAGCGUGGGUAGCGAACAGGAUUAGAUACCCUGGUAGUCCACGCCGUAAACGAUGGAUACUCGGUUUAAGAGGGACUCGACCCCCUUUUGGGCCCAAGCUAACGCGUUAAGUAUCCCGCCUGGGGAGUACGGUCGCAAGAUUAAAACUCAAAGGAAUAGACGGGGACCCACACAAGCGGUGGAGCAUGUGGUUUAAUUCGACGAUAAGCGGGGAACCUUACCGAGGCUUGACAUCUCCGGAACUUUCCCGAAAGGGAUUGGUGCCGCAAGGAACCGGAUGACAGGUGCUGCAUGGUCGUCGUCAGCUCGUGCCUUGAGGUGUUCGGUUAAGUCCGUAAACGAGCGCAACCCAUGUCCUGUGUUGCAUUUUUCACAGGAGACUGCCGGCUCCAAGUCGGAGGAAGGUAUGGAUGACGUCAGAUCAGCAUGGCCCUUAUGCCUCGGGCGACACACGUGCUACAAUGGCCAGUACAAUGGGCAGC
rnacentral:rRNA from 1 species